CAGCAGCCGCGGUAAUACGUAGGUGGCAAGCGUCGUCCGGAAUUAUUGGGCGUAAAGGGCUCGCAGGCGGUUUCUUAAGUCUGAUGUGAAAGCCCCCGGCUCAACCGGGGAGGGUCAUUGGAAACUGGGAAACUUGAGUGCAGGAGAGGAGAGUGGAAUUCCACGUGUAGCGGUGAAAUGCGUAGAGAUGUGGAGGAACACCAGUGGCGAAGGCGACUCUCUGGUCUGUAACUGACGCUGAGGAGCGAAAGCGUGGGGAGCGAACAGGAUUAGAUACCCCGGUAGUCCCUGUCUCUUAUAC
rnacentral:rRNA from 1 species